CAGUCGCCGCGGUAAUACAGAGGGUGCGAGCGUUAAUCGGAUUUACUGGGCGUAAAGCGUGCGUAGGCGGCUUCUUAAGUCGGAUGUGAAAUCCCUGAGCUUAACUUGGGAAUUGCAUUCGAUACUGGGAAGCUAGAGUAUGGGAGAGGAUGGUAGAAUUCCAGGUGUAGCGGUGAAAUGCGUAGAGAUCUGGAGGAAUACCGAUGGCGAAGGCAGCCAUCUGGCCUAAUACUGACGCUGAGGUACGAAAGCAUGGGGAGCAAACAGGAUUAGAUACCCGAGUAGUCCCUGUCUCUUAUAC
rnacentral:rRNA from 1 species